rnacentral:rRNA from 1 species
ACGAACGCUGGCGGCGUGCUUAACACAUGCAAGUCGAACGGAAAGGCCCUGCUUUUGUGGGGUGCUCGAGUGGCGAACGGGUGAGUAACACGUGAGUAACCUGCCCUUGACUUUGGGAUAACUUCAGGAAACUGGGGCUAAUACCGGAUAGGAGCUCCUGCUGCAUGGUGGGGGUUGGAAAGUUUCGGCGGUUGGGGAUGGACUCGCGGCUUAUCAGCUUGUUGGUGGGGUAGUGGCUUACCAAGGCUUUGACGGGUAGCCGGCCUGAGAGGGUGACCGGCCACAUUGGGACUGAGAUACGGCCCAGACUCCUACGGGAGGCAGCAGUGGGGAAUAUGGCACAAUGGGCGGAAGCCUGAUGCAGAAACGCCGCGUGCGGGAUGACGGCCUUCGGGUUGUAAACCGCUUUCGCCUGUGACGAAGCGUGAGUGACGGUAAUGGGUAAAGAAGCACCGGCUAACUACGUG